rnacentral:pre_miRNA from 1 species
AUAGCUUUACUGUAGUUGGUUGAACUUGGGCCAAAUCAGUCAAAUAAGGUCAUUUGGUCCCCUUCAACCAGCUGUAGCCAGCAAUUCUA